rnacentral:rRNA from 1 species
GAUGAACGCUAGCGACAGGCCUAACACAUGCAAGUCGAGGGGCAGCAUGGUAUCAGCUUGCUGAUACCGAUGGCGACCGGCGCACGGGUGAGUAACGCGUAUGUAAUCUGCCUGUAACAGAGGGAUAACCCGGAGAAAUCCGGCCUAAUACCUCAUAGCACAUAUUAUUCGCAUGAGUUUUAUGUUAAAGAGACUCGGUUACAGAUGAACAUGCGUUCCAUUAGCUGGUUGGCGGGGUAACGGCCCACCAAGGCAACGAUGGAUAGGGGUUCUGAGAGGAAGGUCCCCCACACUGGUACUGAGACACGGACCAGACUCCUACGGGAGGCAGCAGUGAGGAAUAUUGGUCAAUGGGCGAGAGCCUGAACCAGCCAAGUCGCGUGGAGGAAGACGGCCCUACGGGUUGUAAACUCCUUUUAUAAGGGAAUAACGGGCGCUACGCGUAGCGCUGUGCAUGUACCGGGAGAAUAAGCA